CCCUUAGAUGUUCUGGGCCACGCGCGCGUUACACUGAUGAAGCCAGCGAGUAUAUCGCCUUCACCGGAAGGUGCGGGUAAUCUUGUGAAACUUCAUCGUGCUGGGGAUAGACCAUUGCAAUUAUUGGUCUUGAACGAGGAAUUCCUAGUAAGCAUGAGUCAUCAACUCGUGCUGAUUACGUCCCUGCCCUUUGUACACACCGCCCGUCGCUACUACCGAUUGAAUGGUUUAGUGAGAUCUCGGGAUUGGAGACGUUGCGCCGCAAGGCACAUCGUCCUCGAGAACUUGAUCAAACUUGAUCAUUUAGAGGAAGUAAAAGUCGUAACA
rnacentral:rRNA from 1 species